rnacentral:rRNA from 1 species
ACGAAGGGGGCUAGCGUUGCUCGGAAUCACUGGGCGUAAAGCGCACGUAGGCGGAUCUUUAAGUCAGGGGUGAAAUCCCGGAGCUCGACUCCGGAACUGCCUUUGAUACUGAGGGUCUCGAGUUCGGGAGAGGUGAGUGGAACUGUGAGUGUAGAGGUGAAAUUCGUAGAUAUUCGCAAGAACACCAGUGGCGAAGGCGGCUCACUGGCCCGAUACUGACGCUGAGGUGCGAAAGCGUGGGGAGCAAACAGGA